rnacentral:lncRNA from 1 species
CAGAGAGACACACGGACAACUCUGUUUACACAAGAGUUACACAAGCAGCGAUUGUCCUGUUCCCAAGAGAAUUGAUGAGGGUGGUCAGUUUAGAUAGGGAGGGGAAGGGGGUGCAAGCGCCAAUCAUUUUCAGAAAAGAUUAGUGAGAGGGGCUGAACUUUGAGGAGAGGGUAUAAAAAUACCUAGACUCUGAUUAAAACACAUUUCUUCUCCGGAUAUUCUCUUUUAAAUCCCUCGCACAGAAAAGGUGAAGGCAAGCUUGUGUCAAAAUGAAGGUUUUUGCCCUGACUGCUCUGCUGAUCAGCAUCUGCUAUGUCGAAGGUGGUUUAGUGAAACGGCAAGCCGAGGAAGAACCUCAGGUAGAGGCCUCAACCACCCUUACCACUCAGUUAACUGAAUUUAUCCGGAAACUGCAACAGGAAACCGAAGGAUUUGCUACAUCCAUCAAGGAAAAAAUUGGGCAACCAACAGUAGAAGACUUCAGGAGGCAAUUUAAUACGGCGCUCCAGCAAUUUCAGGACAGCUUUGAUCCUAUCACCGAACACAUCAGGCAAAAUGUAGGCCGAUUGUUCACCCUCCCUGGUCAGGCCCAGCAACCCGUGGAAGAAGGUUCAUAAAGUCGACUUCUCUCCCAAAAUGGAGUUCUCCGUUUUCCUUUGGCCUCGGGGUGUGGGGUGUGGGGUGUGGGGUGUAUAUUGAGCCAAAGAUCCUGGCACGUUUUUCCUGAAUCGAAAGUGUUGAAAUCCUAAAAAGUGGUCACAAUAAAGAUAAAUCUUUCCCUAUCCGUGUGUCUAAU